CGAUAUAAUCCUCACGGAUUUCUAAUCCGUACCCACCUCUUGUGCACUUGUUUAACGUUAGCUCCCUAUUGGCGUGCCACAAAAACGGUGUUGGUCUCCUCGCGGAGCCUUCUGCUGGGCGCGGUUUCCGGUAGGCGAGCACUUUUUAUUCACCUUCUUGUUGCUAAACCCCAAUUGUCUGAAUUUGUCAUUUUUGGCUUUUAAAUAAGCAGAAAUUUCAAAUA
rnacentral:misc_RNA from 1 species